GACUUAACAAAUAGUAAACUAAGAAGCUUGUUAAUAAGUAAUUCACCGAUUGAAAUGUAAAUGCGCUAACUGUUAGCCUACAACUGUUAGCCACAUCCUGAGGGGAAAUGAAAGGUAAAUUAGGUGUUAGUUAGGGGUGUUUGGAGACAAACUUAAAUCCAGUGUCAAACAAAAAGCAGCCUCCGCCUUUCACGCUGUUCUUCAAUGGUCAGGACCACCACAGAGCAGGAAACCCAUGCAGACAGGGGGAGAACAUGCAAACUCCACACAGAAAGGACCCGGACGGCCCCACCUGGAGGAUCGAACCCAGGACCUUCUUGCUGUGAGGCGACAGUGCUACCCACCGAGCCUCCGUGCCACCCUUAUCAUUCAUAUACACUGCACAAUCUGUAAUCACUCACUCCUGCACUUUAAUUAUAAUAUAUGUGAAUAAUCUUGCACUUCUGGUUAGAUGCGACUGUACUAGUGCUCUGCACAUUGACAAUAAAGUUAAAUCUGAUCUAAUCUAGUCUAAUACAACCUCUACAUGACGUUGCUGACCUUAAAACCUACUGCUAAUCUGUAUGACCUAGUAGGCUUGCAACAUGGUUAAACCAUCGCGACCCCUUACUUUGCUUCAGCUGUGAUGUGUUAUGUAAACACCACUCAGAGAUUCAAAUGUUCAAGGUGUUUUGAAACCAUGGUAAAAACUAAGGACCUGUCACAAAUGCUGAGAGGAGAUCAUUGUAUUGUGCCAAAAGGGCACAAGUCCUCAGCAAUCUCAUCAAGACAAUGAAGAAAACCCUCUUGUUUUUGUUUAUUAAAUGUUUGUACUUAGUCUAAAAGGUUUGAAAACUAUUUAUUUGCUUUAAACCAAGAUUUUGCAAUUUAUUUAUUAGUGAAACGAGCGUUUAAACAUUUUUAACUCUG